rnacentral:lncRNA from 1 species
GCCCAAACUGCAGCGGGAUCGGCUCACGCUGGGACUAAGUCCUGUCCGGGCCCAGCUGCUGAGUCAGCAGGAAUCCUGCAAGGGCCCGAUUUGCAGGAAGAUUGGGGCCGGACGAGGAUGACAGCAGGCCAAGGUAUUUGGUUUCAGUGGAAUAUUGCUGAUCUGUAACCCUCCACAGAACUCCCUAGAACAGAAAUCUGUCUGCCUCUGCUUUCCUAGGACGCUGACCACAAAUAAAGCUUUCAUGAUAGAGAAUGAAUCCAUAGGAAACAUCCUGCAAGAAAUAUUUAUUCAGCAAAUGGCAUGUGGAAGCUGUUUCCCUGUGUUCCUAAGUCCCAGGCUGCGAGCACCACUCGCCUCCCUCGCGGUGUCUGGACAGCGGGAUGUCUUCCAGACUGGACUCCCUACCUCCCCGGCCCAAAGCUCCCAGGCCCAAAGCUCCCAUGCCUGAGCUCCUCAGCACUUGGAGAAGAGGUGGCAGCGGGGCAAACUGUCUCCAGACCACCACUGUAGGGAGAAGCAACCCGAUGCCAUGACACUGGCGGAGUGGAGAAAACAUUCCCACCACUGAGGAUUUUGCUAUGAGGGUUAUCAUGAUUAUGAUAUGACUAGCUACGAUUUACUGAGUUCCUUUAUGUUAGGCAUUGUAUUAUACCAUUUCCUCCUACGACCUGCUGGGUAAGUAGUGUUAUCGCCAUUUUCUAAAGGAAAAAACUGAGGCUCAGAGAGGUAACUAUGCUUUCAGCUGCAAGUUAUAAAACACCCACUGCAAGUGGCUGAAACAAUGAGAUUGUCUUAUUCUCUCUCAUGACAAUACAUCUGGAAGGAGGUCAUUCCAGGUCAGUUUCGCAGCUCAAGUGUCAUCAAAGAGCCGGUCUCUUUCCAUGUUUCUGCUUCAGCACUGUCAACUUAGGUGUGAUGACUCCCCAGCAAUGUUGUGCAGCAACAUCAAAUAUCUUAUUCUCACAAAACUGAAUUGAAAGGCAGGAAGAGGCCAGGUGCAGUGGCUCAGGCCUGUAAUCCCAACACUUUGGGAGGCCAAAGUGGGUGGAUCACUUGAGGUCAGGAGUUCGAGACCAGCCUGGCCAACAUGGUGAAACCACGUCUCUAGUGAAAAUACAAAAAAAUCAACUGGCCAUGGUGGUAUACACCGGUAAUCCCAGCUACUUGGGAGGCUAAGGCAGGAGAAUUACUUGAACCCGGGAGGCAGAGGUUGCAGUAAGCCAAGAUUGCACCAUUGCUCUCCAGCCUGGGCAACAAAAGCAAAACUCCAUCUCAAAGAAAAAAAAAAGGCAGGAAGAAAGGGAAAGGUGUAAGUGUUUUUGGCUGCUUGUGUGCAUGUGUGUGCAUUUGUGUAAUAAAAAAUGAAAUGUUUUCCUAAAGCCUACCAGCCAAUUUCUCCAUACAUCUUCCUGACCAGGAGAAUAAAAUUACUUGGCUUGGCCAGGCUGGGUCUACCUUCUCUGAGCGCAUUGCCCCCACCCUGUCUGCCCCCACUCCAUGCUAUCUGAAUAAAAUUAUGCUACUUGUAGCAAGAAGAAAGUGGGAAAGGUGUUGGGUGAGUGAAAACGUCUGUCACACUUCCUUCCCAGACAUUCCAUAGCAGAAGAUUCUCUUUUCAGAAGACAAUGCUGUCUUCCAAGAUCUUUGUCUCAGUAUCUGUUAACAGUAUGUGUGUGCGUCUCUGUGUGUGCACAUGCGUGUGGUUGUGUCUUGGGUGCUCAUAGUUUUGUUACUGGUGUAGCAUAUUCAAGUCAGAAAUAAGGAAAUCAGAAGGAAUGCUGCAGUAGUCAUUCUCGGCUGCUAUCUUGCACAUGGGACAGGGCAAGACAGUGUGAGGCUCCACAUAAAUUAGGAAGAAUGCAGGCUGAAGAUUUAGAUCUGGAUUCUAGCCCCCAGCUCUGCUACUUUCCAUCUGUGUUGCCUGGGUUAAGUUAUUUAAUCUUUUUGUUAUUAUUAAUUAGAUAUAGGGUCGGGCUCUGUUGCCCAGGCUGGAGUACAGUGGUGCAAUCAUAGCUCACUGCAGGCUCAAAUUCCUGGGCUCAAACAGUCCUCCUGCCUCAGCCUCCCAAGUAGCUAGGGCUAGGGCUACAGGCACAUGCCACCACACCUGGCUAAUUAAAAUUUUUUUUUUGUAGAGAUUGGGGUGGGGGGGUCUGUCUGUUUUGCUCAGGCUGGUCUUGAACUCCUGGCUUCAAACAAUCCUCCUGCCUUGGCCUCCCAGAGGGCUGGGAUUACAGACAUUUGCCACUGUGCUUGGCCAUUACUUAGACUUUCUAAGCCUCAAUUUUCUAAUCUGUAAAGCAAGAAGUUUGCACUAGGUGAUGUCUAAAGCUCUAAUAUUCUAUAAUACAUAUAUAUAUUUUUUGAGAUGGAGUCUCACUCUGUCACCCAGGCUGGAGUGCAGUGGCAUGAUCUCGGCUCACUGCAGCCCUCUGCCUCCCAAACUCAGUCUCCUGCCUCCCAAGCUCAGCCUCCUGCCUCCCAAGCUCAGCCUCCUGCCUCAGCCUUCCGGGUAGCUGGAACUAUAGGCAUGUGCCACCACGCCCAGCUAAUUUUUGUAUUUUUAGUAGAGAUAGUGUUUCACCAUGUUGGCCAGGCCGGUCUCGAACUCCUGGCCUCAAGUGAUCUGCCUGCCAGCCUCUCAAAGGGUUGGGAUUACAGGCAUGAGUGCCCAGCCAGUCUAUCACAUUAUUAAACCCAAAAAACCCUGCUCAAAUGCAUCUGCAUGCCAUAUGAAUGAGGGAGGUCAACAUUUUUUCUUGUAUAAGAGGAAUAAAACAUACUAUAACAAUUAGAUACAGAAUGUAAUGUAAGCAAAUUAUGGGCUCUUUUGAAAUGUCUUUAUUUUCAUUACAAACUGUCCUUUGAAUGAUUAUGCAUUAAGUGGCUUGUGUUUUACAUUUACAGCACAGCUCAUCUUUCAGAAUUUUCCUGCUAUUUCUGUUUUCUAUUUUAUUGGCAAUGCGUUUCUUUAUAACUGAGUGAAGAAUGUGGCAAGGCUGGGGAAAAUGUUUCUGCCUGUCUCUUUUUGCUCUCUCUCCCCCUCUGAACAGAAAUAGUAUCGUGGCAGUGCCUCUCUUUGUCUGUUAGGAAAAAAAAAAAAGCCAGGAAAAGGAAAUAACAGUGGGUGAUCUACUUUCCGAACAGCGUGAGAAAGAUCCAGAGAAUGUUAGUUUUGCACUGAAGCCGCUUCAACUUCUACUUUUCCAAUAUUACAGGAAGUUUCCUAGCAUUGAGAGGAAAAAGAAACAGUGGCCAGAUACUUUCUCCUAAAAAUAUACAGGAAGGACAAUGUGGAGGCCAAGACUAAUCUGGGUGAUGAGCUCCAGGCCUGCCUCAAAACAGGAGCUGAUGGGAGAAAAAGAAAAACAAACCAAAAAAACCUAACUUGAUUAGGAAGGAGGUUGGAAGGUCACUUCAUAGUUAGAAACUAAGAUUAGUGCUUGUGACUUGGCUGGAUUUCCCAGAUGACUUACCAUUACCCUGUGCAUCAAUGAGCAAAGUAUUUAUUUUGCAUGAAGGGGAAGGGAGAAACUUCAUCAGCACAGGAUCCAGGCCCCACAGCCACGACCAGCUAAGGAUUCUCCCUUCAACCCGCAAGACGUAUUCUGAUUUGCUCACUCAUGAGACUGGAGCUGUGUCUUGAAGUAGAUCGCGCACAGUAGUUCAUUCCCAAGGCCAUAUUCCUGCUGGACGAUAGAGCUGGGCCUGCACUAAAGGUCUGUCAAUAUUGCCCCAAUAUGCUGAGGCCUAUCCUUCCUAAGAUAUGGCUUUGUCCACGGUCCUCCCCAGAAGGGGCUCUUGUAAGGCUCCCAAGGGAGUGAAAUUCAGACUCUGACCCAGAGACUCUCUUCACCUCAUCAUCUUCUCCUGGGAGUCUUCAUCCAAUAGUGGCAAUGUCAUUCUUCCCUUCUAGAAAGAGUUGUGCUGGCUGGGUGUGGUGGCUCACACCUGUAAUCGCAGCACUUUAGGAGGCCAAGGUGGGCAGAUCACUUGAGGUCAGGUGUUCGAGACCAGCCUGGGCAACAUAGUGAAACACCAACUGUACUAAAAAUACAAAAAUUAGUUGGGCGUGGUGGCAGGCGCCUGUAAUCCCAGCUACUCAGGAGGCUGAGGUAGGAGAAUCACUUGAACCCGGGAGGCGGGGGUUGCAGUGACCUGAGAUCGUGCCACUGUACUCCAGCCUAGGCAACAGAGCAAGACUACA